rnacentral:rRNA from 1 species
ACUCCUACGGGAGGCAGCAGUAGGGAAUCUUCGGCAAUGGACGAAAGUCUGACUCGAGCAACGCCGCGUGAGUGAAGAAGGUCCUCGGAUCGUAAACUCUGUUGUAGAGAAGAACAAGGACGUAUGUAACUGAACUCACGUGACGAUCUACCA